UUGUAGUCUGGCAGACCCAUGCGCUCGAUUUGGGUCUGCUAGACUACAAACUACACGCUGUAGAGCUAAUUUUCGUACUUUUGAAGGG
ensembl:ncRNA Y59A8B.32 ncRNA